UUGGCAUGGUGAGGAAAAGAGAUUGAUGUCUGAUCUACAUGACGAGCAAUUCCUCCUACUCAUUCUGA
rfam:Brachypodium distachyon strain Bd21 chromosome 1, whole genome shotgun sequence.